CUGUAUCAUGCAUCUUUCUUCAAACAGGUCUAUUUCUUCAGCCUUCUCUGGGUCACAUCUUCCCAUUAAUCCAUAGCACCCACAUACCCCUUUACUCAAUUUUCACACUCUGUAGUUAUGCCAUCUUUCUUAUCUUCUUCGAACACAUUCCUUUCUUACAAAUAUUCAUUUGGAGUGCUUUCCUUUUUCCAACCCUCUCUUUAUAUGCUAUUUUUAUUAUAUACAAUUUUUUUUUUUUU